rnacentral:lncRNA from 1 species
AUGCAAAAAGAAAAAAAAAAAAAAAAAAAAAAACACAAAAAGCACACACAACACACAAGCAAACAGAGCUGCAAGGUGGAGGGAGGCACCUCCCCGCUGCGAGAACAGAAACCUAUGGGAUUGCAAAACUCGCUCUGCGAGAAUCAGCUGCGGCUGGAGGAGGAAAUGCUUCAGCUUCCUGCUCGAGAAAAAAAUUCCCGGAGUUGCAGCCGUCCCCAGGCCCGGGCUGGGACAGCCUCUGCUGAAGGCAAACAGUGCUGGGCACCGGCCAGCACCCAGCCCUGCCCGGGGUGGGCAGAUGGGAGGCAGAGGCAGGGCAGGAUGAGUGCCCGGGGGCUGUGUUUGGCCUCCAUCAGCAGUGCCAGGCUCGCAGGCAUGGUCCUGCCGUGCCCAUUUGGUGCUGUGGGCUCACUGCUGGCCCUGGCUGCCCCGGGGCAGGCUGCAGCAUUGCGCAUGGGGGUGUGCUCAGGGGGGGCUGCUGGCACUGCUCUGCUUACAGAGCCACCGGGUGCUCAAAGCCCCACCAGGGGCUUCUCCAGAGCAGAGAAGCCUGCAGCAGUCGGGCUUUUACCAAGUCUUCUCCAUAGCUCCAUGAGGAGAUGGAUUUAUCGUGACCUGUCCAUCUCCAGGAGCUGCUUUACAGAAGUUACAGGUCCCAGAGGCUUCACACAGCCAGCUGCAGGGACAGCUCAGCUCCUCCAGCCGUGCCCCAAAACCUCUCUGCUUGUGCAAGCCCAGCGUGCUCCCGGCAGCCGAGCCACACCAGGGGGCUGCUGCACGGCUCCAGCAGUGCCCACACACCCCGGGAGCACAGAAUUAUCCCUGCAACCACGUUCAUUCAGCCCAGACCCUCCUGUUCCCUGGGGGUGUUCCUGCAGACCCCAGGCCCAGCUGGCUCCCGGCUGUGCCAGCACCGCGGCGCUCAGCAGCUCCCCGUCCCCAGCCUUUGAGCCUGCCCCAGGUGAAGCUGCCCCAAAGAAGCGCAGAGAAGGCGAGAGGAAGCAGGUGCAGACAGAGCAAACAAGGCUGCCGCCCUCCCCAGCCGCAAACCCUUCCCCCAUGUGUGUGAAGCACCAGAUCCGGCCUGGCCCCAGCGCCUUCAAACACUGCCAGCGGCUGUCGGCAGCAAGCAAAGGGCAGAGGGGAGAUUUUGGGGCAUUCCCCAGCCCCGGCUGCUCCCGAGCUGCACCUUCGGCAUUGCUCUCACCGUAUUUCAGCGAUCAAGGACAUCGAGGACUUCUCAUCUCAGCAGGGAAAACCAAGGGAGGCCGUGGCGGGGCUCAGCGUCACCGUCCCCACAUGCAUGGGGGCUCGGCCACGCAGCAGCAGCACCCGGCGUCCCCAGAGAGGGGCCAGAACCGGCCCCAGAUGCUCAGAUCCUGGCCCUGA